rnacentral:rRNA from 1 species
UACGAAGGGAGCUAGCGUUGUUCGGAAUUACUGGGCGUAAAGGGCGCGUAGGCGGUCAGAUAAGUUUGAUGUGAAAGCCCUGGGCUUAACCUAGGAAUAGCAUUGGAUACUGUCUAACUAGAGACCGAGAGAGGGAAAUGGAAUUGCGAGUGUAGAGGUGAAAUUCGUAGAUAUUCGCAAGAACACCAGUGGCGAAGGCGAUUUCCUGGCUCGGUACUGACGCUAAGGCGCGAAAGCGUGGGGAGCAAACAGG